rnacentral:rRNA from 1 species
UGGAGGGCAAGUCUGGUGCCAGCAGCCGCGGUAAUUCCAGCUCCAAUAGCGUAUAUUAAAGUUGUUGCAGUUAAAAAGCUCGUAGUUGAAUUUCGGGGUCAGUAGGUUGGUCGUGCCACUGGUAUGCACUGGUCUCACUGAUUCCUCCUUCCUGAUGAACCGUAAUGCCAUUAAUUUGGUGUUGCGGGGAAUCUGGACUGUUACUUUGAAAAAAUUAGAGUGUUUAAAGCAGGCUAACGCUUGAAUACAUUAGCAUGGAAUAAUGAAAUAGGACGAUCGAUCCUAUUUUGUUGGUUUCUAGGAUUGACGUAAUGAUUAAUAGGGAUAGUUGGGGGCAUUAGUAUUCAAUUGUCAGAGGUGAAAUUCUUGGAUUUAUUGAAGACUAACUACUGCGAAAGCAUUUGCCAAGGAUGUUUUCAUUAAUCAAGAACGAAAGUUAGGGGAUCGAAGACGAUCAGAUACCGUCGUAGUCUUAACCAUAAACUAUGCCGACUAGGGAUCGGAUGAUGUUAAUUUUUUAAUGACUCAUUCGGCGCCUUACGGGAAACCAAAGUGUUUGGGUUC